UCUGCAUACAUGGAGUAUAGUGACGAAAACAUUUCAUUUAAUAAGCAAGCCUUGAAAGUAAUUUCGAAAUAUUUGCUAUAUAAGAGGGCUUCUGUUCCGUCUAGAAUCAGUUACUGACUGCCCUCCAAACAGCGAGGACCAAAUUUUUUGGAUUUAUUUAUUUCUUAAAAAGUGAAAAAAGUAUAAAAAGUCUUAACCUGAAAUUGAAACCAAAAAAAGAGGAAACUGAAGAUGAGAUACGAAGGGGCUGCUGUCACCCAAAGAAAGUUUUAUAGCCUAUAGUACAGUUUGUAUUCAAGAAUAAAACUGUCUUCGAGUGACAGCAGUUCUUUCGAAUUUCCUAUACAGUUUCUUCUUUUUUUGAUUCUAAUGGAACUUAAUUCCCUUAUAUUUCGGCGAAUCGGGACGAAGCCCGUUGUAGUACUUGUGAUGUUGCUGGCAAAGUUGAAGUAAUCUACAUCCUGGUCUAUGGCCUGAGAGCGCUAAAGACGAUCAUAUAAGGUAGAGUUCUACGCCCAAGGCGCUUAAAUUCUGGCGAAGCACCUGAUAGCUCCUGGUGCAGAUUCCCGGCUUUCUGCACCGUUCGGAUGUGCAGAAAUUCGUCCAGAUGGGUGGCCUCCUCAAGGAUAACGAAGCCAAUGUGCCAAUCCAUCCUGGCUAGUAAAGAACUCUACCACGAAACGCUUCAACUGGAGGAGCAGGAACAGUUGGCCAUAUCAGUGGAUGGCCACGCCAGUGGAAAUAAAAGGAUUUAUAGAUCUGUUUGAAACGUUAAAAAUUCGUCAGUUCCAUGAAUUAUGGAUGCCAAUGUCAGAAACUAACCUCAAACUUUAGUUGAUGGUCCUUCAACUCCACCCCAAUGGGCCUGAUCUCGCCUGAGCUUGCACAUAUUCAUAUCAUAGUAAAUUCAAUACUGAAUGCCAUAACUUCGUUGUUUUUCAAGUUAGAAGGAUGGGAGUUUCAAUGGAUUCCUAUUUGGGCAAAAUAAUUCGAUGUGCCAAAUUAUAUAAGGAUCGUCCGACUACAUACGAUCCGCUAAUAAUGUAAGAUGCGUGUCGCCACCUAGCGGACUGCGACUCAACUGCAAGAGUAUAUAAACUUCGGCUCCGCCCGAAGUUAGCUUUCCUUUCUUGUUUUUUUUGUUUUUUAUAUUAUUUUUUUCACUUCCGAAUUAAAUAUAAUGGUCUCUGAGUAACAGCAGUCCUUCCGUA